CCAAGCUGAGGAUAGACUGGGGGCCCCUGUGGUGGUACUUGCUGAUAUGGUGGGGGCACUGGAUUAUACUGUGGCGGUGUUGGGCAAUACUGUGGUUAGGGCACUGGAUUAUACUGCGGUGGUGGCACCAGGUCGUACUGUGGAGGAGCAGGCUCGUACCGGGGUGGCUCGGGAUCCUCUCGCUGCAGUGAUGGCUCAACCUGUGGCAGCGGGGGAGCGUCAAG
rnacentral:lncRNA from 1 species